AAGUCGUAACAAGGUUUCCGUAGGUGAACCUGCGGAAGGAUCAUUAUCGAGUUUUGAAACGGGUUGUAGCUGGCCUUUCACAAGGCAUGUGCACGCUCGGCUCAUUCCACUCUUCAACCUCUGUGCACUCUUUGUAAGAAAUGACCGGGACGCUGGCGCAAGUCAGUUGAAAAGUCUUUCUUAUGUUUUAUUACACACGCUUCAGUUAUAGAAUGUUUACUUGCGAUAACGCAUUUAUAUACAA
rnacentral:misc_RNA from 1 species